rnacentral:rRNA from 1 species
UGAGGAAUAUUGGACAAUGGGUGGAAGCCUGAUCCAGCCAUCCCGCGUGAAGGAUGACGGUCCUAUGGAUUGUAAACUUCUUUUGUACAGGGAUAAACCUGCCCUCGUGAGGGCAGCUGAAGGUACUGUACGAAUAAGCACCGGCUAACUCCGUGCCAGCAGCCGCGGUAAUACGGAGGGUGCGAGCGUUAUCCGGAUUUAUUGGGUUUAAAGGGUCCGUAGGCGGGCCUGUAAGUCAGUGGUGAAAUCUCAUAGCUUAACUAUGAAACUGCCAUUGAUACUGCAGGCCUUGAGUAACUUUGAAGUGGCUGGAAUAAGUAGUGUAGCGGUGAAAUGCAUAGAUAUUACUUAGAACACCGAUUGCGAAGGCAGGUCACUAAGAUUUAACUGACGCUGAUGGACGAAAGCGUGGGGAGCGAACA